rnacentral:rRNA from 1 species
UACGGGGGGGGCAAGCGUUGUUCGGAAUUACUGGGCGUAAAGGGCUCGUAGGCGGCCAACUAAGUCAGACGUGAAAUCCCUCGGCUUAACCGGGGAACUGCGUCUGAUACUGGAUGGCUGGAGGUUGGGAGAGGGAUGCGGAAUUCCAGGUGUAGCGGUGAAAUGCGUAGAUAUCUGGAGGAACACCGGUGGCGAAGGCGGCAUCCUGGACCGGCAUUGACGCUGAGGCGCGAAAGCUAGGGGAGCAAACGGGG